GACGUAGGGCGCGAGCGUUGUCCGGAUUUAUUGGGCGUAAAGAGCUCGUAGGCGGUUUGUCGCGUCGGAUGUGAAAUUUUAGGGCUCAACCCUGACAUUGCAUCCGAUACGGGCAGGCUAGAGUUCGGUAGGGGAGACUGGAAUUCCUGGUGUAGUGGUGAAAUGCGUAGAGAUCGGCAGGAACACCCAGGGGGAAACCAGUGGACUGGGCAUGCGCUGACGCUCAGGUGCGAAAGCGUGGGGAGCGAACCGG
rnacentral:rRNA from 1 species